GUAGCAAUACCAUGACCAUUAUUUUCUUUUGAAAAAAUGGUACAGGUGGUGGCACAAUAAAAGGCGGCAGAAAUUUCAAUCUUUGUCUUGAAAAAAGGAAAAAAACCAGUCCAUCUUUAUAUAACCUUUUACUUCGUAAAAAAACAGAGCAACGCAUCGAUUAUCUUGUUUUUUUUUGUUACCACUAGGUUACUUGAAGCCGCCGACCUGUGAAGAAGAAAUCCAUCUUAUUGAAUAUUUUAAUAAAUAGUAAUUUGUAUUUGAAUUUUGUAACGAAAAUCGUCUAUUGAUGGAUUUGUGUUUGGAUUUAUAAUUUCGAAAACCAAAUAACAUAAUCACGAAACAAAACAUUUGUAAAGCAUAUCAAUCUCAAAUCAUCAACAAAUUACAGCCGUCCAUCCAAAACAUCAUUACCAUCACCAACACC